UCUGUGUCUAGCAGCACACAAAGUAAAGCCUGGUCUAUCAGCUUUGCUCUGUUGUGCUUGCUUACCUAGUAUCCUCUGGGUCUCUCUGGCUCAGAGCUGGAAGUAAUUAAGAAACUGCACUGGCUCUAGUUCAUUCUUUCAUGCUGGUGAAUGUCUCAGAGAGGAUAAAAUUAGAUCAGCAGGAGAAACUCCUUGCAUUCCUCACUGAGCCUUAGAGAAAAGCUGAGGGAUGGAAGCCUCAACAAAUGUGGAUAUUGGCUGCGCUGUAUUUGAAAUUCGUAUUUAAAGCCAUUGCACAUUCUUCACCAUGCUUUUUAUAAAUCUUUUGGCAGGAAGCCUAAGCAAAUGGUCCAGCUGGAGUUGCUGAUCGUAGCUCCCAGAAGCCAUAUCUGCUGAGAUCCAGCGCCUGCUGCUUUCCUUGCAUCGCUCAGUUGGAACAACACCCCUCCUUCCCUUCCCCUCGAGUCUUGCUAAGUCCUUACGCUCUAGCAGCCGCCGCCUCUUGGAACAGUGCCGUUCCCAUGGAACGUGAAUCCUAGGCAGGAGCCUGCAAUCCCCAGUACGGUGACUCUGGAUUCCUGGCUGAUACCAAGCACUGUUGCUUUCCUGGAGGAUGACUGAUUCUCUUCUGCAGCAGCUUUUUUCCUGCCUUCCUAAGGAAGUUCUGGUAUAGCAUGUACCUGAUCUUCCCAGAUCUGAAUGGAUGAAAUUCCCACCUCAAGACCAACUUUUAUGCACCCAGCAGGGCCUUUCCAUUCCAAACUCAGAAAAAAAUGUAUCUUCAUGUAAUGCACUUUAUAUAUCGCACCUGCUGUAAGACAGAAUGCACCUCCGAUUGUCUGGCUUGAAUGGGUCGAUUCCUGCCCCAAGCAGUGCUUGCUGACUCAGUGGGCAUGAGAAGUCUCCGCUAUGGAUCGAGAUCUAGCUGGGAUGCUAGACUUAAGUGAGAUUCUACUUUUCACUAAAUGAGGGUUUAAUUUCUUUUCUGGUGUAAAAAGUGUUU
rnacentral:lncRNA from 1 species